CCCGGACCUUGUACCACACCGCCCGUCAAGGCCAUUGGGAGUCGAGAGGACCUGAAGGCAGUUGCUGUAAGGCGCUGUUUAGGGUUAAAUCGAUGACUAGGGCU
rnacentral:rRNA from 1 species